rnacentral:rRNA from 1 species
UACGUAGGGGGCUAGCGUUGUCCGGAAUCAUUGGGCGUAAAGAGCGUGUAGGCGGCCCGGUAAGUCCGCUGUGAAAGUCGGGGGCUCAACCCUCGAAUGCCGGUGGAUACUGUCGGGCUAGAGUGCGGAAGAGGCGAGUGGAAUUCCUGGUGUAGCGGUGAAAUGCGCAGAUAUUGGGAAGAACACCAGUGGCGAAGGCGGUUCUCUGGGACGGUACUGACGCUGAGACGCGAAAGCGUGGGGAGCGAACAGG